AAUUUCAAGCAGGAUAUGCUAGGAAGCUGAACCUGGAAAGAGGACGUGCCUUUCUGCAAUCCAAAAUAAUGGGUCAUCGGCCAUCAAGUGCAAUUUGAAAGGCUAUUUUCGGUCGUGAAAUGGCUGCUCCAGUGAAACUCAGAAUCAUUCUGGGAGAAAACAAUUCCCAGAGAUUGAUCCUUCCAGAUGGGAUGCCAGUCUGUCAACGAACUCAUGCAGCAAAUAAAGAGACGGUGUGGAAUAAAUGGGGACUUAAGGCUUCAAUUCAUGGAUGCUGAUUUUGGGAAUGUUUUCACAAACUUGGACUCAACAUCAGACAUCCAGGACAAAAGCUCCAUCAAGGUAAUCUAUAACUCUGUUACACCUGCCCAACUUGGUGGCUCUCCGCCACGUCCCUACUCAGCUGCUGCCACAUCCCGCCCUCUGGACGACUCUUCCUCCCUUUCAUCUGCUGGUCGCUCAUUUGAUACAGACAUACUGUCUUCUCCUGAGUCCACCUCCUCGAGAUCCACUGCAUGGCCGAUUGUCUUCCCCAUGCCCCGGUUUGCCUAUGAUACUCAGCUACAGCUGGACAGAGCCAACGCUGCUUUCAAAGAAACUGGAGCUUUGUUGAAUCCUGAUACUAAACUGAAAUCUGCCAUUCUUGAUGGCUUAGCAGAAGUGAUCGUCCAGUACAAAGUGUACCUCACUGACAUUGAGUUUGAUGAGUUAGCAGAAGCUCUUGUGACAUCCAUGUGUGACAUCCAUGUGUGAAAGAGCCAGGUUCAGUCACUGGGUAUGGCGGAUGGAAGACAAGCCUGAAGUACAAACUUGCUAACUACUGAACAAAGCUCAGACGGCUUGGAUGCCCAGAAGUUACUGUGAAUUCCUUAAAACACAAACCUGAGAACAAAUGCAGUCCUGCAUACAGUGUGAAGAAGCCGAAAAAAGCUGAAGUGAAUUACUGCCCUACCUAUCCAGCCGGUGAAACAGCAGAGACACUAGAACAGAUAAGAGUGGCCCUACACCCUCCUUUCAGAAGUAAAUAAAAGAAACUUGAGCACAAGGGGGCGGCAAUGAUGGACAAGACCUUUGCCUAUAGAAGGCAAGAGGUAGUUCGAGAGGCACCCACGGUAGCUGAUUUCAAAACAAGGUGGCCAGCUCUCUUCCAUGUGCGUGAGUUUUUUUGUAGGUGACUUCAGAGUUUAAGAGAAUCACAACAAUCAAUUUACCAUCAAAGUUCUUCUCCGAGCUGGAUAUCCACUCUGAAAACCUGAUGAAGGCAUAUGCCAAGAAAGGUGGAGUUCAAGGGAGAAAAAUCAAGACCAUCAUGGCACCCAUAACCCAGACUGACACCAUUGACGUCAGAAGUAUGAAGAAGAAGAAUGCGUCAUCAAAGGCCUGUGUGUUUACCUCAACGAAGAUCCGGAGAAGUUGGUGAAAGAAUACGUAGUAUGUUAAUUUACCUGGAUAGGAGUAUACAGGGUGAGGGGAUUGGGGCCGGCUUGAGAUUCAGCCUGUCCUUGGCCGGGUUUCCCAUGUUCGUUAAAGCGGCGAUUGACUGGGUUUUUGGGGUAUUUCACACUGUUCCUUAACAUGACAUUCUCACUUUUAAUUUGUUUAAAAAUGAACAAAAUAGUGUAUCUGGCAUUGUGAUAUUACAUAAACCAGAUUGCGUCAUGAAAUACAGUAGAAUGGCUAUGACCGGAAAUGGAGGUAAAAUAUUACUUUAUAUACCUGCUGUAUCAUAUUUGAUACAUAUGUUUUCAACACGAUUUUACUAUAAAAUUAUGAUUAAAAAACAUGAAGGAUUUAUAGGUUGCUUCAACACAGUAAAUAUUAAUAUUGAAAAAUCUGAAACACUAUAAAUGUUAUUCUUACCGUAACUUAUUCAAAAUUAGCAACGAUGUCCCUGCCGAAAACGAACGAGUCACUUCGUGACGGCGGCCAUUUUGGAAAGGGUAUUUAAAUGCCUGCUACUGCUUGCAAUGCAUUUAAAAAUACACUAGAUGGCAGAAGACAUGUAUAGGAUUGUCAAGUUACUUGGGUGUGACUUCAGGACAGCCUCUAACUUGACAAAGGCCUAGGGCGACGACAGAGGACACGGUACCAACUCAACUCUUUUUCCACUUUUAUUUAGUAGGAAAGCAGGUUGAAAACCUUUGGGUCAUAAAGAAAAAAGGAGGGAGAACAUACCCAAUUACAUUUAUGCAUUUAGCAGACGCUUUUAUCCAAAGCUCCCAAUUAGCUCCCCGUAAAGUAAAGAAUCCAGAAACAUACAAACAAAUGACCAUUAGCAACAUACUCAUUGCACGCUAUAUAAAGCAGUUAAACUCAAGUGCACGGAUCAGAAACAGACGUGCUUCUUUACUUUUACUUAUAUUCAAACAAACAAACAAACCCUGUACAGACAAUCUUUAUCCUCACACGCACUGCCCACUCACCAACAGCGUCUCUGUUGUCUCCUGCACACUGAAGCACCCUGUCCAGAUUUUCCUUUCUGCACACCUGACGCUCAUUAACUCAGUGCCUUUUGUAUGAUGGGUGCUAUUGGUAUUGCGAGACCAUUCACUAGUUUGUCUUAAAGGGGCAGAUGACUGUUUUUUGGGGGUAUUUCACACUGUUCCUUAAGGUCUCCGAAUAGGGUAUUUAACAUUGUUUGAGCUGAAAAUGCCCCUGGUGCUGUUCUAUGCCCCCUUAUACAUCCUCUGAAAUUUUCCCGGGAAAAAACGCUCGGUUUUCUCCUUUUAUGGUAUGCUCAUUAAUAUUUAGAUGAGCUGUGCGCUGAUUGGUUGGUUUACAACGAGCAAAGCUUCGAGCAAAGACUCGACAUGCACUCACUAAAACAUCCACGGCGAAAAUACCAUGGAGGCAUUAGGUGUUCAAACUUAUAUGUUUGAGCCUGAAUCAGAGGAAGAAUCUGAAGUAGAGGAGCAACUAUUCGCCCGAAGAUUUGGAAUGACUAUUUCAGAUUGGUAAACUGUCAUUUCGAAUUGUCUUGAAUUUGCAACAUCACCUGUUAGCUGUACAGUAAUAGCUUAGCUCCUAGUGUAGGCUAAUACUCGCAUUUCAAUGUCGUAGCCUAAGCACAACUUUGUAUUAGGUUUGUUUUAGCAUUGUAAGCUAAAUGUUAUUAAUUUGCACAGUUUUAUUACUUGUACCCUCUUGGUAUUUUUUUUGUCAAGACACCCUGUUAGCUGAAAAGUUCGCAGCCAGUCUGCAUUGGGCUGUUCAUAGCACUGAUAGUAUACGUCAAUAUAGUAAUAUUGUUACCAUACUCUCCUGCUGAUAAGGCCACCUGAUUAUGAGAGUACUUUCUUUCCAUGUAGUUACGUGAUCUUACAAUCAUCUGCCCUUACCCGGUGUAAUUGUGGAAACUGUGCACAUAUGCUACUGGAUAGAAAAAUAUGUGUUGUCGGGAAAUACCUCAGGUCAUGAGAAGAAUGGACCAGGUUUCUGAAGCAAUAACCUGUAUGUUUGACCAUCCUGGCCUCGACCCGGUGUGCCUCAAAAUGUAUUCCUUGCAAAAUGCAAUGAAUAUUUACAGGGUUGACCAUGGCCGUUUGAGAAUAAGAGGAAUGGAAAAGCAAUGCAGACAUUUGUCCUACAGGACUUUUGUGAGCUGGUGUUGUCAUCCCCUCUUGUGUGGUGCUGCGCAUACGGAGGGAGUUUCCUGAUGCUUCCGGGCAGUACGUUGGGUUCAGAACCCCCCUUGACUGAACCGUGACAAAUGUUGAGCAACAGCAUCCUUCAUGGAAGGCCUGUCGAGCUGACCACACAGGGGCUGGGGCACAGGAAUACGCUGGACGGCAGCCACAUAAGGAAGGGGGUCAUGGAUGAUCUCUUCCAACACCAGUUGCAUCAUGUCGAAGACAUAGCCUGUUGUGUGUGAAUAGAUGUGAAUACAAGUUAUAUUUUAGCGCCUUUGCUGUUGCACAUUUUGAUUUGUUGUUUAUAAUAAAAAAUAUAUUUUUUAAACUUA